CCUACGGGAGGCAGCAGUGAGGAAUAUUGGUCAAUGGGCUUACGCCUGAACCAGCCAAGUCGCGUGAGGGAAGACUGCCCUAUGGGUUGUAAACCUCUUUUGUCAGGGAGCAACGCCGGCUACGUGUAGCCGUACUGAGAGUACCUGAAGAAAAAGCAUCGGCUAACUCCGUGCCAGCAGCCGCGGUAAUACGGAGGAUGCGAGCGUUAUCCGGAUUUAUUGGGUUUAAAGGGUGCGUAGGCGGAAUGAGAAGUCAGCGGUAAAAAUGCGGGGCACAACCUCGCUCCGCCGUUGAAACUGGCGUUCUUGAGUGGGCGAGAAGUGUGCGGAAUGCGUGGGGUAGCGGUGAAAUGCAUAGAUAUCACGCAGAACUCCGAUUGCGAAGGCAGCAUACCGGCGCCCAACUGACGCUGAAGCACGAAAGCGUGGGUAUCGAACAGGAUUAGAUACCCGUGUAGUC
rnacentral:rRNA from 1 species